UUGAAGAGUUUGAUCAUGGCUCAGAUUGAACGCUGGCGGCAGGCCUAACACAUGCAAGUCGAGCGGUAGCACAGAGAGCUUGCUCUCGGGUGACGAGCGGCGGACGGGUGAGUAAUGUCUGGGAAACUGCCUGAUGGAGGGGGAUAACUACUGGAAACGGUAGCUAAUACCGCAUAACGUCGCAAGACCAAAGUGGGGGACCUUCGGGCCUCAUGCCAUCAGAUGUGCCCAGAUGGGAUUAGCUGGUAGGUGGGGUAACGGCUCACCUAGGCGACGAUCCCUAGCUGGUCUGAGAGGAUGACCAGCCACACUGGAACUGAGACACGGUCCAGACUCCUACGGGAGGCAGCAGUGGGGAAUAUUGCACAAUGGGCGCAAGCCUGAUGCAGCCAUGCCGCGUGUGUGAAGAAGGCCUUCGGGUUGUAAAGCACUUUCAGCGGGGAGGAAGGCGGUGAGGUUAAUAACCUCAYCGAUUGACGUUACCCGCAGAAGAAGCACCGGCUAACUCCGUGCCAGCAGCCGCGGUAAUACGGAGGGUGCAAGCGUUAAUCGGAAUUACUGGGCGUAAAGCGCACGCAGGCGGUCUGUCAAGUCGGAUGUGAAAUCCCCGGGCUCAACCUGGGAACUGCAUUCGAAACUGGCAGGCUAGAGUCUUGUAGAGGGGGGUAGAAUUCCAGGUGUAGCGGUGAAAUGCGUAGAGAUCUGGAGGAAUACCGGUGGCGAAGGCGGCCCCCUGGACAAAGACUGACGCUCAGGUGCGAAAGCGUGGGGAGCAAACAGGAUUAGAUACCCUGGUAGUCCACGCUGUAAACGAUGUCGAUUUGGAGGUUGUGCCCUUGAGGCGUGGCUUCCGGAGCUAACGCGUUAAAUCGACCGCCUGGGGAGUACGGCCGCAAGGUUAAAACUCAAAUGAAUUGACGGGGGCCCGCACAAGCGGUGGAGCAUGUGGUUUAAUUCGAUGCAACGCGAAGAACCUUACCUGGUCUUGACAUCCACAGAACUUWSCAGAGAUGSWUUGGUGCCUUCGGGAACUGUGAGACAGGUGCUGCAUGGCUGUCGUCAGCUCGUGUUGUGAAAUGUUGGGUUAAGUCCCGCAACGAGCGCAACCCUUAUCCUUUGUUGCCAGCGGUYMGGCCGGGAACUCAAAGGAGACUGCCAGUGAUAAACUGGAGGAAGGUGGGGAUGACGUCAAGUCAUCAUGGCCCUUACGACCAGGGCUACACACGUGCUACAAUGGCAUAUACAAAGAGAAGCGACCUCGCGAGAGCAAGCGGACCUCAUAAAGUAUGUCGUAGUCCGGAUUGGAGUCUGCAACUCGACUCCAUGAAGUCGGAAUCGCUAGUAAUCGUAGAUCAGAAUGCUACGGUGAAUACGUUCCCGGGCCUUGUACACACCGCCCGUCACACCAUGGGAGUGGGUUGCAAAAGAAGUAGGUAGCUUAACCUUCGGGAGGGCGCUUACCACUUUGUGAUUCAUGACUGGGGUGAAGUCGUAACAAGGUAACCGUAGGGGAACCUGCGGUUGGAUCACCUCCUU
rnacentral:rRNA from 1 species